GGGGCGCAGCUGUCUGUCACGUGGGCGAACCACACGGGCGGGCCGGUGAGUCCUCCGCUGAGUGGCAGGCGGGACCCAUAAGGGCGGUGGCCCGGGGAAAGUGCCUCUGAGACCGGGAGGGCCUUCUCCAGGGUCAGGGCGCUGACAGGGCAGCGUCCGUACCUCAGCGGACAAAGUUGGUUCCUGGGGCAGUCAGUCGGCCAAGGAAGAGAGCCACUGGAUGAGGGUGGCGAGUCCUGAGUGUGGGUCACACGAGGAGAGGAGAGAGUUGGGGAGGGGGUGCAUAUGGCAAGUGUCAAAUAAACUUUAGUUAACAAAUAGCCUGAAAUCCCUCAUCAUCGCUGGGACUCCCUUGCCCUUUUGAAGGGCACCGCUGAAAAGGGGCUCCUGCUGCCCUUCUUGAAACCAGCCUAACCCCGUUCCGCCAGCCCCCUUGCCCCCACACCUAAAAUCAAUUACAAAAUCAAACCCGGGAGGAGAGGCUCACAUCUUGGAGCAGAUACUGGACGCUUCAUCACAUCUCCUUGUCCAGCUGCGGCAGUUUGGAGUGCUUCCUUGCAUUUCUUCCAUCCCUUGCUGGAGCGUCGACAGGGGAAGACUUGACCCCUGGGAAUCCGUGGCACUGUUGGACCACGGUGUUCUUUGGGGUGAAAUAGAUGGAUAGCUGACUAGAAUGGUGUGGUGUUUGAUUUGAAUAACGAGAAAGAAAUCAAGAAUUAGUGAUCAGAAGGCGAAUGUCAAUUGCUGCAGUAGAAAAUCAUGAUUCCUCACUCUGUAUUUUAAUCUGAGCCGGUUCUGAGACCUGGAACCCACUGGUGGAAAGGGAGGCUCAGUCCCUUACAGAAAGGAUCCUACAAUGCCACCAAAUGUACAUUAAAAAAUACUCCUCUAAUCCUUUCCCAAAGGGACCUAGCACCUCUUAACAAAAGUCCCUUACUUUGGAAAAGGGACUAUCCAGACCUUUCAAGAGCUGUUAGAUACAGGAUCUGAGCUGACACAUGUGCAGGGCACAUGAAGCCUCAUGGACCACCCGUCUGAGUAGAGGCUGUGGAAGUCCCAUGGUGAACAGGAUCCUGACCCAAGUCUUGAGGUCACUUCCUUGGUCCUGGUGCAUACUUGGGGUUAUAUUAUAUCUAGUAAUGGGCAGAGCUUGUACUUUGACCCCUGACCUCACAUGGUAUGAAGAGCCACGGGGAAGCCUCUGAAACCCCACCCCCUCCCAUGCUGCAUUCCAUGUCACUCUCAAAGACAUAAAUCUCAUUAUACCCCUGUCAAUUCACCUGAAUGGCCCCUGCAAAAUCCAGGUGGGUUCAAGUAAGUGGUGGCGGGCUCCCACAAAGUAAGCCUUCAUUCGCAGCAGCUGUGUCGGGAGAUAUCGCCAUCCUGGAGCUGAUUAAUGCACCUCUGGCACCUGAUGAUGCAGUUGAUGUGGUGACUAUUCUUCCCCACCACUCAGUUUCCAGUAGUAAGAGUAAAUUUGUAAAAGCAGUUCACUUUUAUAUGGGAAAGACAGCCAAACAUAUUCAUUGUCUUGCUUCAAGGCUGUUUUAACUCCUGUGCUUUCUGUCACAAUGUGAUCCAUUGGGACCUUGACCGUCUGGACGUCCUACAUAACACUGAUGACAUCAUGCUAACCGGACGUGGUUGGGAAGGAAGUGACGAGUGUUCUGCCCACGGUAAGACAAUGCAUGUCAGAGAGUGAGAGGGAAGUCCUCAGACGUCCUGGAGCCUAUCCUCAGUGAAGUUUCCAGGGGUGUAGAGUUCGAAGGUCAAACCAGAGCACCACCUCUAAGAUAAGGGCGAGUUGUUGCAUCUGGCACCCUAUGAUGAAGAACGGGCCCACUGCUUGAUUCAUCUUUGGAUUUUGGAGUCAGCAUUUACUGCUCUUGGAAAUACUGUUCUGACCCAUUUAUCAGGCUUUUAAAUGGGGCCAAGAGCAAAGGAGGGCUCUGGCGAAGAUCCCUGGUGGGGGAUGUGUUCCCUUACCACUUAGCAGAACCAGUGGGUUAUGAUGGGCUUAUUUGUGGUAGCUAGGGACCCUGUGUGGCACAUUUGGAAGGUUCCAACAGGAGAUUUCGCAUGCACACCCCUAUGGUUCAGAGGCAAGACCAUGGUGGCUAUAGUGAAGAACUGCUCACCAAUUGAAAGCAGCUUCUAGCACACUACUGGACCCAGAUAGAGUCUGCGUGCCUAAUUAUGGGGCACCAAAUGACCAUGUCGCCAAAUAUGCCUGUCCUGAGCUAGGUAUUGGCAGGUCCACCAGGCUCAGUCCCAAUUGACAACUCAGUGAAAAAGGAUUGGACCCAGGCCUUUCUAGAGAGUACUGGUCAUUAACAGGAAGAGAGGGCUGUGGCCCCCACAUUCCUACCUUGUUGUACCAAUGCUUCUAUCUUAGCAGAUGGGAAGAAAAAUUUAGGUCUGGUUCACAGAUGAGUCAACUUGAUGUGUCUAUGUGAGCUGAAGAUGAACUACUGCUGCACUUCCAUCCCAUUCAGAGUGGCUCUGAAGGACAGUAAUGAGGAGAAUUCCUGCAAAGAGCAGAGCUUCAAGCAAGUACACUUGGAUAUCCACUUUGUAGGGAAGGAGGGGAGUAGACAGAAGAGCGGCCUGGGGAAGAUGUGCACAUGGACUUCCGGGUGGAGACGGAUGUCUUCCAGGGGACCUAGAAAGAGAAGGAGGGGUGUUGGAGACAAGGAGGACUGUAAGAGAAGACGGCCCCAGAGGAGUGGUCACAAGUGUGUAUAUCUUCCUGCCUCGUGGUAACACCCACGGCAAAGGGGUCACUGAGAAACAAAUCGCAUGCGUAGAUGUCAGCCCGCUUCUGUCCUUGUCUACCUUUGUGCUUGUAAGGUAAGCCCAUCGCCAUGGAGUUGCCAUGAUGGCAAGCUGUGCCCACCAACAAAGGCCCUCUCCCAUCAAGGCUUAUCUAAUUCUCACUGCCAAGAGUAGUGCUGAGCUCCUGAUAAAGCACCAUCCCUAGAUCCGUAACAGGGUGGCUACAGCAGAUCCUUUCCGCUUGGGAGAGGGAAUGAUUCGUCCUUCCUGGAAUUGGCACUUGUUCGGGAUAUGGGUUUGCCUUCCCUGUCCACAAGGCCUCAGAGUAGCACCGCUGUCUAGCAGCUUGGAGAAUGCUUGAUUUUCCAGCCCACGACCAUGUAUAACAUUGCCUUGGGCUAAGAAACUCAUUUUACAGUGAAAGAGUUUCAACAAUGUGUGGAUUGCCUUGGGAUCCACCGCUUCUGUAAUAUCCUGUAUUAUCUACAAGCAGCCAAUUUGAUGGAGAGAAGGAAGCUCUAGGGCAGUAUUCUGAGGAAUGGGGGUCUAUACGCUGAGUCAAAGCCUAGUAUAUGGUGCCCCAGUAGAUAUACUAUGUGGAUCCAGGAACAAAGACAAGGUCCCAGAACCCAGGGGUUGAGACAUGCUGUCUCUCACCAUCUUCCCUAGGGACCCACUUGCAGAAUUUUCAUGUUCUUUCUCUACACCUUUAAGCUCUGCUAAAUUAGGCCCCUGGUUCCCAGGUAGGGAACAAUUCCUCAAGGGAACACCUACUGAUUCCAGGGAAGAACGCCUUCAGUGAACCAGACGCUGCAGAUUCUGCCAGAGCUCCUCGUGCUGGUCAACCAGAAGGCCAAGAAAGAGGGGAUGAUUGAUCGUGAUUAUUAUGAGCAGAUAUGGUUGCUGCCACUUAAUGGGGCAAUUAUGCAUUGGUCUGGCAUGGAGGAUUUGCCUGGUUCUGUAUGGUUGCUUCCAUGCAAGUAAUAACAGCAGCCAUGGCCUGCCAAGGGCAAGCCAACCUUCAGACCCCUCAAGGAUGAAGGUCUGGGUAACCCUGACAGGAGUGCCACGCAGGCUGGCUGAAGUGCUGGCUCAUGGUGAGGGGAACCUAGAAUAGACAGAGGAGAAGGGAGGUGACUGAUGUCAACUGCAGCCUUGGCAGCAGGUGCAGCAGUGGGGCCUGUGUUUGCUCUACUAACCCUCUUACAUUAAAGCCCUUGUAAAGGUUGUGACCUUCUAGACUUCACCUCAAAGAAUCAUGGCAAGGGACUCCUCUGUGGCACAGCAGGUUAAGGAUCUGGCAUUGUCACUGCAGCGGCUUGGGUCACUGCUAUGGUGCAGGUGUGAUCCCUGGCUUGGGAACUUCCACAUGCCGUGGGUGCGGCCGAAAAAAAAAAAAGCAGGAAUCAUGACAGCGUAGACUUAACGCUGUGCCCGAGUAGGUCUGUGGGUGUAAGAGCUAGAGUCUUGGCAGAUCCUCUCAGCACACCUUUAACUGCAGUGGGCUAGAGACCCGUCUCUGGCACCUCCUGGGCAUCCUUGCGCUUUCCGCCCCAGGCCUUUUCUGACAUCGCAGGAGCCCCCUUGGCCUGCUCACCAGUGCAAGUCUAGGUCUCUGGGGGCAGCCUCAGGGACUGGAGGCAGGAGUCAGUGGAGGAAGAGUUGGACAAUCCUAGGAGGCCUUCUGUACUUCUCCAGGUGGUCCUGGUGAAGCAGUGAAGGCGCCGUUUCCCAGAGCAGUGACCUCAGGGACACACUCCUAUGGUUUGAUUCCUCCUUUUCUGUCUCACUCUCCUCCCUCCUUCAUUUCUGUUUCAUAGAAUCACUUCCCCAACCAACCACUUAUAGUCAAGUCUUUGGGUUUGAAAUCACUGUCACUGGGCCGAAGCAAUGGUGCCAGCAGGGCUGGACUCCCUGUGGAGCCUCUAUGGGAGAAUCCAUUCCUUGCUCUUCUGGUGGCUGCAAGCAUUCCUGAGCAUGUAGCUGCAUCGCUCCAGUCUCUGCCACCACGGCCAGCUUCACUCCCACCUCUUCUGUCUGUGUAAUCACCCCUCACCUCUCUUAUUUUUUAUUUAUUUAUUUAUUUACUUAUUUAUUUUUCUUUUUGACUUUUCUAGGGCCUCUUCUCGCGGCGUAUGGAGGUCCCAGGCUAGGGGUCUAAUCGGAGCUGCAGCUGCCGGCCUACACCAGAGCCACAGCAACGUGGGAUCUGAGCGACCCACACCACAGCUCACGGCAACGCCGGAUCCUUAACCCACUGAGCAAGGGCAGGGAUCAAACCCGCAACCUCAUGGUUCCUAGUUGGAUUCAUUAACCACUGUGCCACGCCACGACGGAAACUCCCCCUACCUCUCUUGUAAAGACACUCUGACCAUAUUUAGGGCCAAGCUGGAUAAUCCAGGAUAAUCUCAUCUCAAAAUCCUUAAUCAAAUCUGCAAAGAUGAUUUUUUUCCAAAUAAGGUAACAUUUAUAGGUUCCAAGCAUUAGUACGUGGAUACCUCUUAAGGAACUCUUUUUUAUUCUGCCAUAGUCACCAAUUCUUUCCCUAACAGCUUUUGGCUCAUCACUCUGUUGUGUCCUAGGCUUUGAGUAUUGCAGUUGAAAAGUUCUGAAUCCAGCCUAAUUUUUCUCCCUUGGACAGGAGUUGAUUUUUCUGACAAUAUUUGAAGAAGCAUGAUAUAUGCAUGAGGGAAUGAUUUAUUUAUUAAUUUAAAAUGAUAAAAAGCCCUCACAUGUUAACCAAAAUAAUAUAAAAAUAACUUUCAGAGUUCCCAUCGUGGCUCAGGUGUAGGCCAGCGGCAGCAGCUCUGAUUUGACCUCUAGCCUGGGAAUCUCCAUAUACCUCGGGUGCAGUCCUAAAAAAGACACAAAGACAAAAAAAAAAAAAAAAAAAAAAAAGACCUAAUUAUAUGUUGCCUUCAGGAGGCUCACCUCAGCUCUAAAUACAAAUAGAGGCUCAAAGUGAACAGCUGAAAGAAGGUACUCUAAGCAGUUCGCAGCCAAAAUAAAGUGGGUGUAGCCAUAUUCUUAUCAGAAAAAAGUCUUUGAGCCAAAAAAGAUAAUGAGACAAAACUAAAUAGUAUAUAAUGAUAAGACAACUCAUCAUCACCCAGAAGACAUAGGAUUAUUAAUAUAUAUGCAGCUAACACAGGAACACCAAAAUAUAGACAAUAAUAUUAACAGCCUUUUAAAGGGAGAAAUUGACAGUGACGCAAUUGUGGUAGGAGUUACAGGAGAUUUUAAUACCCACUUACAUCAAUGCCUAGAUCACCAUAUAGGGGGUCAACAAGGAGACAGUGGCCGUAAAUGAAACCGACCAGAUGGACUGGAUAGAUUUGCACAGGACAUUCCAUCAAAAUGCAGCAGGACACGCAUUCCUCUCAAGUGCACACGGACCUUCUCAAAGAUAGACCUUAUGUUGAGACAGAAAACAGUCUCAAUAAAUUUAAGAAGAUUGAAAUCAAAUCAAGCAAUUUACCAAUCCAAUGAUAUGAAACUAGAAAUCAAC
rnacentral:lncRNA from 1 species